rnacentral:tRNA from 1 species
GGGGCUAUGGCGCAGCUGGUAGCGCACCACACUGGCAGUGUGGGGGUCAGGGGUUCGAGUCCC